GUACUAGUACUUAAUACUUUUGCAAGGACUUAAUUGAGAUAUUCUAAACUUUUGGAGGGCUAGAUUAAUAUUAGCCACGAGAUUAAUAUUCUAAACUUGACUGCAAAGGCGAGCAGUCCUCUCCUUCCAGUAUCAGAGCCCUCUUUUCAACACUUAAACAGAAGUCUUGUAGCCUUUACGCUCUUUCAACGCUAAAACAGAAGGAGAGGGAAUCAAAAAAUUGGAAGCAAGACCAGAGGGAGUUCAUAUAAUGGGUGGAUUGCCUGCACAGAACUCUUCAUCUGUUAUCUCCUUGAAUGUACACAAAGAUCAAAGUCCAGGUUCCGUAGGACCAGGGCCGGAUUCAAAGCCGCGGAAGAAGAUAUGCUGUGCUUGCCCCGAGACAAAGAAACUAAGAGAUGAAUGUGUUGUGGAGCAUGGCGAAGCUGCUUGUGGAAAAUGGAUCGAGGCUCAUCGUAAAUGCCUCCGCGCGGAAGGCUUCAAUGUUUAAAAAGUAUUACCGUGGUCGAUUGGAUACACGAAUUGCAUUAUGCUGUGGAAAUUGAUAGAAUUUUUGUUUCUAUUGUUUUAGGCUGCACCAGGUGCUCAUACACUGGAUUUUUGUCUGGUAUAGUAAUGUUACAGAUUAACUGAGAGAUAACUGAAAUGCAGCAUGUGCUCAUUCCCACAUAAAGGGUUCCUGAUGAAAGACAGGGUACAUACUCGGUCCUGGUAGAAAGUGUACGGGAGGAAUGCUAAAGCAUAUCUAUCAGGGAAUAAAAGUUUCAGAAUUCUAAUUGUGCCCCCUUUUUUGUUUCUUGGUUAUCCUCCUGCAAGUGCAUUUGUUAUUGUUUUGUACAGGUCGUGCAUUUACUGAUGCUAGUCCUGGCCUCUGAUUUCUUUGAAGGGCUAUCCGUCCUCAUGUUAUUGUUGUGAUUGCCUCUCUUGUGAAUGCAAAGUAGCCUCCAAGUUGAAGCUUUCUGAAA